UGGGGGAUAUUGCACAAUGGGGGAAACCCUGAUGCAGCGACGCCGCGUGAGUGAAGGAGUACUUCGGUAUGUAAAGCUCUAUCAGCAGGGAAGAAAGUGCAGCAAUGCAGAUGACGGUACCUGAGUAAGAAGCCCCGGCUAACUACGUGCCAGCAGCCGCGGUAAUACGUAGGGGGCAAGCGUUAUCCGGAUUUACUGGGUGUAAAGGGAGCGUAGACGGUUGUGUAAGUCAGAAGUGAAAUCCCAGGGCUUAACCAGGGGACUGCUUUUGAAACUAUACGGCUAGAGUGCAGGAAGGGUAAGUGGAAUUCCUAGUGUAGCGGUGAAAUGCGUAGAUAUUAGGAGGAACACCAGUGGCGAAGGCGGCUUACUGGACUGUAACUGACGUUGAGGCUCGAAG
rnacentral:rRNA from 1 species